ensembl:lncRNA
ACAGUGAUUGAGGGUGAUGAGUGCCCUCACCCGUGGCAUUUCCUCUUUUCUGGCCCCUCUCUUCUUGUCUGCCAGCUCACAGGUCUGCCACGUGCACCCAAAUAAUAGCUCCACACUCAACUCUGGUGGGAUUUGGCCAGCCCAGUCUGAGGUUUAACUACGGUCAUGAAAGCAGCCAGCCAAUCACUAUUUUAUUCAUUCCUGACAUCUUGAUCAAAAAUCUAUGCCAGGCUCCUGUUGUACAACUCCCAAAGGAAUAUUUAUAGAAGAACUGCCUGGACGGUGACUUCAAGAUUUGUAAACACCAGAGCCUGAUCUGUCAUGCAGCACAUGGGGGAUACAAUUUGAAUAAGUACAGCCUCUUCUCGUGAGGGAACGUCAAAGACUUUGCAAGUCCUCCUGAACUGGUUCCUAAAGCCUGCCUAGGGCAGCUCAGUGGACUCCACAUAUGUCCUCUUGGUUGCUCCGGUGUCUGCCAUUUCCCUCCUUUCCAGCUCUGGCCACUCAGGUGGUAACUCUUGUUGCUCUUGACUGUAUUGGAGCCACUAAAGCACUAAUGCUUGCAUGAGACUGCACAGCCUUUUUGCCCAGAGAUGCAUCUUUAGGCACCAGUGAUGCUUAUCCAGCAGUGCCCAGUAUUGAAGAUUUUCUAUCCCUUCAAAGGCUUCUAUCAUCUUUUUUGUCCUAGCCUUUGGAGGUUUCAUCAGCUUCCAUAAGUACAAUGUUCUUCCUUUAGGACUCGGACAAGUAUUGAUGGAGAAUGGAUGAGGGGAUCAAGUUGGGAAUACUGCUCCAUGAUCUCCCCUCCCCUGCUGGAAUCCUGCAGCGCCGGCCUGCACCAUGAGACUAAACUCUCUAUUCAAUGACCUUCAAUAACUGGAUCUCUGCAGAAGUCUUCCAGCUUUACCUCCUGUAGUUCCCUCUUUACACCAACAGUUUAAGAUGGAUCAGAUUAUUUGUUUUCAAAAUGCAUUCACUGUACACACACAAGCCACCUUGCCUUUGCAUGUGUUUUAUAGUCUGCCUGAAACAGCCUUCCCUCCCUUCCUCUCCCCUCACCAAACACAUUGCAGCAGCUCAUCCUGUCACCUCCUCCAGGAAGCCUUCCCUGCAUCCUAUCUCCUCUUUCUUCCCUGCUAAGCUACAUGCUUAUCAUCUGUGUUCCGCCUAAGCUC